ACUCCUACGGGAGGCAGCAGUGGGGAAUCUUAGACAAUGGGCGCAAGCCUGAUCUAGCCAUGCCGCGUGAGCGAUGAAGGCCUUAGGGUUGUAAAGCUCUUUCGUGGGGGAAGAUAAUGACUGUACCCCAAGAAGAAGCCCCGGCUAACUCCGUGCCAGCAGCCGCGGUAAU
rnacentral:rRNA from 1 species